AAGACUGUACGCUAUGUGUAUGUCCUGGGGUGAAGGCUGUUCCACCAUGUGUAUAAACAGCAAUAAACUCAACGAGGGUUGAAGAGACCAGGUGGUUUUCCGCUGUAAUUGUGUUUAAAUGGCUACUGAUAGGUGUGACAUCAACACCCUAUGCCUGUGGUCUGUGUAGGGGCUGGCAGAGGGACAGGAUGACAGGGCCUAUUGCCUCACCAUCCCUGUUCACUGUACUUCUGUCAAGGCCAUUACCUGGUUACAUACUGAGGCCACCCUGCUGUCAUUCAUCAGGUAAAGAGGAAGGCACAGCUCCCCACAGGCUGUGGAGAGUUGUGCCAUCUGUGUCUUCUGGCCAUCCCUGCACCAUACCCUGCUGAUGGGGUGUGCUGGCCAGCAUGUCAGCCUGUGCAAUGCGAGGGACACUAGUUUAUGGCUCUUCGUUGCUGUUUUGUUUGCAUUUAUUGUCUUUUUCACUCUAUAGUGGUAUUGGUAUGUUUUUGCUUUGAGUGUUUGUUUCUAACUUGUCAGCAUGUGCAAGUAUGUUUGUUGGUGUUUUUGCGUUUUAUGUUUUGGUUCAGUUCAAUUUGUUGCCUCGUCUGUUGUCUCUUUAUAUUCCUGUAUACAACCCUAGCUUUGCUUUCUCACCACAACUAUUUUCCAAAGCAACAGAGAUGAUUAGCUGAGUUCUCAAGACGUUUCUUCAUUUCAUAAUGUACAGAGAUCUUGUUAAUCUUUCUAGAAUCAUAAAAACACUUAAAAGCUUGUGUAACUUCAACUAUUGGCUUUGGAAAGUAGUGCUGGUGUGGCCCAAAUGCACUUCAGAAUAUGGGCCCAAGGCCACUAUACAUAGUGUAUGUGGCAAAACUGGUGAUCCCUUUUUGAGGAAGACAGCCUUGGUAUAUAUAUAUAUAUAUAUAUAUAUAUAUAUAUAUAUAUAUAUAUAUAUAUAUAUAUAUAUAUAUAUAUAUAUAUAUAUAUAUAUAUAUAUAUAUAUAAUGUAUGUAUGUAUGAUGACCACUAGAAAUAAAGCUUCCACAAUUAUUCAUAUUUUAUUUGACCAGAAGAACCUUGUACUGAGAAGUUACAAAAAGAAAAAAAAAAAAAAAAUGAAAAAAAAAGUCUGCAGACUGGAAGAAGAGCUACAGAACCUUGGGUCUAUCGUUUAGGGUUAAUCAGUCCAAACAAAUCCAAGAUAAUGUACCUACACUACAAAGCACAGGUCUACCCACAGCAGGGAUGUCCUACAGUUAAGAACAUUAAAAGGAAUGCUCUUCACUUUACCACUGUACCAAAAGUAAUGUGUAGUGCAAACUCAUGGGUUCUAAUACAAUGAUAAGAACAGUGAAGCUCUCCAAAAGCACUGCACUCACGGGAAUUUGGAAACUAUUUGUUAUGAUACAUGACAUCAAAAUUUAUUUGAGUGCAUUGCUUCAAUCAUUCACAGACUACUCCAACCUGCAUUUUGAAUGGACAGUUAGUAAUAAUACUGAAUCCUUAAAUUCAACCAUUCAAUCUACUGGUUUGGAGAUAAAACAAGUAGACAUCAAAGACAUUCUAGAUGAAGACUUUUUUUUCUUUUGGAUUGCUGCUAUCUCUAUAAAACAACAUACAGAUGGUGCAGAAUAUUCUGGUGUAAACAUAACUAGGUUGUCUUCUCCAGUUGCUGUUCAGACGUCAAUAUCAGACAAAACCGUGUUGCACUGUAAGCUUAAGAGGCCAAAUCCUGCAACAUAACUAUUUGACUUUAAAACAAGUCAAUUAUCAAUGUAAUACACAUUGCACUGUAGUACUUAAUUUUGCUAUUUAUUUUUGUAAAUUUCCUUGUUGGAGCUAAAAAUGAGAAAAGCAUCACUGAGGUCAGAGGCAGACGUAAUAAAGUAAAAAUACAUAUAAAAUUGCAUAUGCAGAAGAACAAAACUGUCUAAUCUGACAAGGAUCAAACUGUACUGCAUUACAGGACUUUUUGGGGGUAAGAAUGGUGGCACUGGAACAUUUGUUGCCAAGCAUCCACAUCACUUUGUAUUGUUCCUGAGCAAAUGGAGGCAUCAUCUAUGUAUGCUUUGUGAUAAAUUGUUUACUAAAAUUUUAAGCAUGAAAAUUAAUAAAACAGGUUAUUCAUCAGCCUUAAAUUGAAGGAAGAGAUGGAAGAACCAAAUCAGGGCACUCUUAGUACACACCAGAAUUCCUUACACUUGCUUUCCCAAAAGUCACAGCAGCAGCAGCAGCAGUGUAGAACUUGCCAUUAGGAAGCCUCCACAGCCAACAGCUCUACAUCAAAGGUAAGUGUGGCAUUGGGAGGAAUCACACCUGGGAAACCUUUCUCCCCAUAGGCAUAGUCUGGGCUGCAGACCAAGCGAGCCUUCUGACCAACAGACAUCU